rnacentral:sRNA from 1 species
UUAUAAACCCGAUAGUAGCGUAAAACCCGCAGGCGAGGAACGAGCCAAGGCUUUGAAGCGAUAGCGGGACUAUCA